UGUUAUGAAACAUCUAAACACAGCCUGACAGCAUUUAUUUAGAUUACGUGCAGAUAUUACGAACAUAAUGCUAUAUAAAAGUAAAAGUUAAAAAGAUUACACCUGAAGCAAAAAAUUUUUUUAAAGGCAACUUUUAAGUUACUGCAAUAUUAAGAUGAGAACAGUCGCUGCUUUAUUUGCAUUUCUUUUUCUUUUCAAAUAUGUAUCUGCCAAUAGUUUGUCAGUAAAACUGCCCACUAAAUGCGAAGAUGUUCUUACAGCUGAUACCUGUGCUUCAUUAAAAGCAGUGGCAGUCAAGUUGCGCGUAAAUGUUCAGCUUGUCCAUGAAGCUGUUAUUAGUGCCGUUGAAAAAAGUAUACAAAACACACAGGAUGUAAUUAUUUUUGUUAGAGAUACUUUGGUAAAAAAAGCAACUAACUUUCAAUGCACUGAUGCUCUCACUGCAGAGCAAUGCGAUAAAAUUGCUUUGAUUGGAAAAAACCUCAAGUUAUCGGCUAUAGAAGUUGCCGAAGCAGUGAGACAAGCUGUUGCAAGGCCAGUUGAAGUUGGAGUAACGUUAUAUGUUGCAGCAUUAUUUAUUUUAGAUGAUCUCAAGAAAAACGUUAAAUGUGAAGCUUUUGUUUCAGAAGACGUGUGCAAAAAAGUUGCUGAUUACGCCAUUAGCCUUAAACUUAGCGCGGAAGAUGCCACAAAAGCUGUCAAAGAGGCCAUUUUACAAGGUGCCAACAAUGCAGCAGAUUACUAUAACAAGGCAACUGAAUACCUCAGAGCUCAAAUAUCUUGCGAAAACGUCCUUUCAGUUGAGACAUGCAAAAAAGUCCGAAAACUUGCUGAUAAAUUCAGCGUGUCCUUAACAGAAGUCAAUUCAGCUUUACGCUCCGCUGUUGCAAGUGGUAUCACUAAAGUUACAGAUCUUUACAAACAUGCUGUUAAAUUUAUAAUAGAGAAAUGGAACAAAGUCUUGGGAGACGAGCCAUCAAUGUACAAAAGAAGCAUUGAAAAUGAAGCCAAAUACAGACUUGUUCGAACUAUUGAUAUGCUUGUGGAUGUAAUCACAAAAGAUUUUUAGAGUUGGAACAACAACAGCAACAACAUUAACAAUAACAACAACUACAACAACAUUCUUAACAGCAGAAAACAAAAACAAAAAAUCUGUUAAAAAAUAAAUAAUUUUUUGUUUUUAAAUAAAAUCUAAACAUUA